rnacentral:rRNA from 1 species
UAAAAAUUUAAUUUAAAAUAUUUAAGUAGUAUUAGUUAAGUUCUUGAAAUUUAAAAAAUUUGGCGGUAUUUUAGUCUAUUCAGAGGAACCUGUUUUUUAAUCGAUAAUCCACGAUGUAUCUUACUUAAAUUUAUUUAGUUUAUAUAUCGUCGUUUACAGAAUAUUUUAUUAAAAUAAUAAUUUUCUAAAUUUUGUAUUAAAAAAUAUAUCAGAUCAAGAUGUAGCUUAUGUUUAAGUUUAUAAUGGGUUACAAUUUUUAUAUAAUUGGAAAUAAGUUUAAAAUUAUUUAUUGAAAUUGGAUUUGAUAGUAAAUUUAUAUAGAUAAAUAAAUUGAUUUUAGCUCUAAAAUAUG